rnacentral:rRNA from 1 species
GAUGAACGCUGGCGGCGUGCCUAAUACAUGCAAGUCGAGCGAACGGACGAGAAGCUUGCUUCUCUGAUGUUAGCGGCGGACGGGUGAGUAACACGUGGAUAACCUACCUAUAAGACUGGGAAAAUUUGGGGAAACGGGGGCAAAUACCGGAUAAGAUUUUGAACCGCUUGGUUCAAAAGUGAAAGACGGCCGUGCGGUCACUUAUAGAUGGAUCCGCGCUGCAUUGGCUAGUGGGUAAGGUAACGGCUUACCAAGGCAACGAUGCAUAGCCGACCUGAGAGGGUGAUCGGCCACACUGGAACUGAGACACGGUCCAGACUCCUACGGGAGGCAGCAGUAGGGAAUCUUCCGCAAUGGGCGAAAGCCUGACGGAGCAACGCCGCGUGAGUGAUGAAGGUCUUCGGAUCGUAAAACUCUGUUAUUAGGGAAGAACAUAUGUGUAAGUAACUGUGCACAUCUUGACGGUACCUAAUCAGAAAGCCACGGCUAACUACGUG